rnacentral:lncRNA from 10 species
AAACCAUCCAUGAGAUAAACAAAUUAUGAAAAUACACAAUUUUAUCAGCAGCAUUAUUUUUAUAACACUUUUUAUCAGGAAAGUAGCAGACUAAAUAUGAAGUGUGUUUUUCAUUUCCUCAGUGAUAGCCUUGCAUCAUUUAAUUCCAGUUUUAGAUACCUGGCUAAAAUAAAGAAAAAAGAAAAAAAAGUAAGCCUGAAGAAAACAAACAUGUAUUUCUGUGCUAAUUUUAUUCAUAUCCUUUGGAUAUUAGAAGCCCCACUGUGGCACAUUACCUAAUUGCAUUUUAGCUUCUGGAGCUGUGCAUAAACUGUAAAUCUAUAUGACCGUUGUUUAUUCUACUAUCACACGUGCAGGCAUCAGACACGACAUUUGGAUAGCUGAAUGCCAGGAAAUUAUAGGCGCUUUCUCUCAGAAGGAAACAUGGCAAAAUAAAUAUGUAAAUAAAUAAACAAAUCAAACAUGGCAUUGAAUUCAGCUGCCUAGUACUGCUAAUUGUACACAAUCCAGG